GAUGAACGCUAGCUACAUGCUUAACACAUGCAAGUCGAGCGACCGGCGCACGGGUGAGGAACACGUAUCCACCCUGCCCUUUACUCGGGGCUAGCCUUACGACAGAAAGAUAAAUACUAGAUGUGAGGGGGGGUAGUGCGUUCCAUGAGGUUGUUGGUGAGGUAACGGAUCACCAAGCCUUCGAUGGAUAGGGGUUCUGAGAGGAAGGGCCCCCACAUUGUAACUGAGACACGGUCCAAACGACUACGGGAGGAAGCAGUGAGGAAUAUUGGUCAAUGGGCGGUAGCCUGAACCAGCCAAGUAGCGUGAAGGAUGAAGGCGUAUGGGUCGUAAAAUUCUUUUAUAUAAGAAUAUGUAUUAUAUGAAUAAGGAUCGGCUAACUACGUGCCAGCAGCCGCGGUAAUAC
rnacentral:rRNA from 1 species